UACGUAGGGUGCGAGCGUUGUCCGGAAUUAUUGGGCGUAAAGAGCUCGUAGGCGGCCUGUCGCGUCGGAUGUGAAAGCCCCGGGGCUUAACCCCGGGUCUGCAUUCGAUACGGGCAGGCUAGAGUGUGGGUAGGGGAGAUCGGAAUUCCUGGUGUAGCGGUGAAAUGCGCAGAUAUCAGGAGGAACACCGGUGGCGAAGGCGGAUCUCUGGGCCAUUACUGACGCUGAGGAGCGAAAGCGUGGGGAGCGAACAGG
rnacentral:rRNA from 1 species